GACGAACGCUGGCCUCGUGCUUAACACAUGCAAGUCGAACGGAAAGGCCCUGCUUUUGUGGGGUGCUCGAGUGGCGAACGGGUGAGUAACACGUGAGUAACCUGCCCUUGACUUUGUGAUAACUUCAGGAAACUGGGGCUAAUACCGGAUAGGAGCUCCUGCUGCAUGGUGGGGGUUGGAAAGUUUCGGCGGUUGGGGUUGGACUCGCGGCUUAUCAGAUUGUUGGUGGGGUAGUGGCUUACCAAGGCUUUGACGGGUAGCCGGCCUGAGAGGGUGACCGGCCACAUUGGGACUGAGAGACGGCCCAGACUCCUACGGGAGGCAGCAGUGGGGAAUAUUGCACAAUGGGCGGAAGCCUGAUGCAGCAACGCCGCGUGCGGGAUGACGGCAUUCGGGUUGUAAACCGCUUUCGCCUGUGACGAAGCGUGAGUGACGGUAAUGGGUAAAGAAGCACCGGCUAACUACGUG
rnacentral:rRNA from 1 species